GAUCUGGUGGUGUAGUGGUUUGAGCAUUGGAUUAUGAUUCUGAAGACCAGGUUUCGAAUCCCUGCUCAGCCA